GAUGAACGCUGGCGGCGUGCCUAACACAUGCAAGUCGAGCGAACCCUUCGGGGUGAGCGGCGGACGGGUGAGUAACGCGUGGGUAACCUGCCCUAUACACACGGAUAACGUACCGAAAGGUACGCUAAUACGGGAUAAUAUUGUUGGAUGGCAUCUUCUAACAAUCAAAGCUACGGCGGUAUAGGAUGGACCCGCGUCUGAUUAGCUAGUUGGUGAGGUAAUGGCUCACCAAGGCGACGAUCAGUAGCCGACCUGAGAGGGUGAUCGGCCACACUGGAACUGAGACACGGUCCAGACUCCUACGGGAGGCAGCAGUGGGGAAUAUUGCACAAUGGGCGAAAGCCUGAUGCAGCAACGCCGCGUGAGCGAUGAAGGUCUUCGGAUCGUAAAGCUCUGUCCUCAAGGAAGAUAAUGACGGUACUUGAGGAGGAAGCCCCGGCUAACUACGUGCCAGCCGCCGCCGUAA
rnacentral:rRNA from 1 species